CCAGUCCUCUUAGGGGAGUAAUCAGCUUUGCAAGUAUGCAAAGAUUCUUUGUCAACAUAAUUGAGCCUCAUGCUCAUGGCAAAGAAAUUUGAACAACGUUGUUCGGAUUGAUGAGACUUAAGACAGUAACUUGGCUCAGGUGGGCACAGGUUGUUGUCUUUCGUUUGUCGCCCACCU
rnacentral:sRNA from 1 species